GAAUAGCUCAGUUGGUAGAGCAACUGAUUCGUAAUCAGUAGGUCGGAGGUUCGACUCCUCUUUCGG
rnacentral:tRNA from 1 species